rnacentral:rRNA from 1 species
UACGAAGGGGGCUAGCGUUGCUCGGAAUCACUGGGCGUAAAGCGCACGUAGGCGGAUUGUUAAGUCAGGGGUGAAAUCCUGGGAGCUCAACUCCAGAACUGCCUUUGAUACUGGCGAUCUUGAGUCCGGGAGAGGUGAGUGGAACUGCGAGUGUAGAGGUGAAAUUCGUAGAUAUUCGCAAGAACACCAGUGGCGAAGGCGGCUCACUGGCCCGGUACUGACGCUGAGGCGCGAAAGCGUGGGGAGCAAACAGG